UACGUAGGGUGCAAGCGUUGUCCGGAAUUAUUGGGCGUAAAGAGCUCGUAGGUGGCGGGUCACGUCGGGUGUGAAAGCCCGGGGCUUAACCCCGGGUCUGCAUUCGAUACGGGCCUGCUAGGGUCCGGCAGGGGAGACUGGAAUUCCUGGUGUAGCGGUGAAAUGCGCAGAUAUCAGGAGGAACACCGGUGGCGAAGGCGGGUCUCUGGGCCGGUACCGACGCUGAGGAGCGAAAAGCGUGGGGAGCGAACAGG
rnacentral:rRNA from 1 species